UGAUGAUAAUGGACUAAACCUCUGAAACUCUUAACAUAAGAGAAGUAAAGAAAAGAAAGGAGAAGAAAAGGCAACUGACAGAUUGACCCAAAGGAAGACUUGCACAAGAAAGAAAGAAAGAAUGGACUCAGAACCAUGAAGAAGAGAGAAUCUAAUUAACAAAUUAUCUUCUCAUCCCCCACUGAUGCACCCCUUCUCCACAUAAAUAACUGAAUGUAAAAUUUUAAAAUUCAGAAAUAAAAUAAUUUGUAAU